AUGCACGCUGGCGGCGUGCCUAAUACAUGCAAGUCGAGCGAACAGACGAGGAGCUUGCUCCUCUGACGUUAGCGGCGGACGAGUGAGUAACACGUGGAUAACCUACCUAUAAGACUGGGAUAACUUCGGGAAACCGGAGCUAAUACCGGAUAAUAUAUUGAACCGCAUGGUUCAAUAGUGAAAGACGGUUUUGCUGUCACUUAUAGAUGGAUCCGCGCCGCAUUAGCUAGUUGGUAAGGUAACGGCUUACCAAGGCGACGAUGCGUAGCCGACCUGAGAGGGUGAUCGGCCACACUGGAACUGAGACACGGUCCAGACUCCUACGGGAGGCAGCAGUAGGGAAUCUUCCGCAAUGGGCGAAAGCCUGACGGAGCAACGCCGCGUGAGUGAUGAAGGUCUUCGGAUCGUAAAACUCUGUUAUUAGGGAAGAACAAAUGUGUAAGUAACUAUGCACGUCUUGACGGUACCUAAUCAGAAAGCCACGGCUAACUACGU
rnacentral:rRNA from 1 species